GUGGCAGCCGCCGCGGUAAUACGAAGGGGGCUAGCGUUGCUCGGAAUCACUGGGCGUAAAGGGCGCGUAGGCGGCGUUUUAAGUCGGGGGUGAAAGCCUGUGGCUCAACCACAGAAUGGCCUUCGAUACUGGGACGCUUGAGUAUGGUAGAGGUUGGUGGAACUGCGAGUGUAGAGGUGAAAUUCGUAGAUAUUCGCAAGAACACCGGUGGCGAAGGCGGCCAACUGGACCAUUACUGACGCUGAGGCGCGAAAGCGUGGGGAGCAAACAGGAUUAGAUACCCCGGUAGUC
rnacentral:rRNA from 1 species